rnacentral:rRNA from 1 species
AUUGAACGCUGGCGGCAUGCCUUACACAUGCAAGUCGAACGGUAACAGGUCUUCGGAUGCUGACGAGUGGCGAACGGGUGAGUAAUACAUCGGAACGUGCCUAGUAGUGGGGGAUAACUACUCGAAAGAGUGGCUAAUACCGCAUGAGAUCUGCGGAUGAAAGCAGGGGAUCGCAAGACCUUGUGCUACUAGAGCGGCCGGUGGCAGAUUAGGUAGUUGGUGGGAUAAAAGCUUACCAAGCCGACGAUCUGUAGCUGGUCUGAGAGGACGAUCAGCCACACUGGGACUGAGACACGGCCCAGACUCCUACGGGAGGCAGCAGUGGGGAAUUUUGGACAAUGGGCGAAAGCCUGAUCCAGCAAUGCCGCGUGCAGGAUGAAGGCCUUCGGGUUGUAAACUGCUUUUGUACGGAACGAAAAGCCCUGGGUUAAUACCCUGGGGUCAUGACGGUACCGUAAGAAUAAGCACCGGCUAACUACGUGCCAGCAGCCGCCGUAAAAC